AAAAAAGGUAAGCUACUAAGAGCGAAUGGUGGAUGCCUUGACUGGUAAAGGCGAUGAAGGACGUACUAGACUGCGAUAAGCUACGGGGAGCUGUCAAGAAGCUUUGAUCCGUAGAUUUCCGAAUGGGGCAACCCAAUGUAUAGAGAUAUACAUUACCUAUAUAGGAGCGAACGAGGGGAAUUGAAACAUCUUAGUACCCUCAGGAAAAGAAAUCAAUAGAGAUUGCGUCAGUAGCGGCGAGCGAAAGCGCAAGAGGGCAAACCCAGUGCUUGCACUGGGGGUUGUAGGACUGCAAUGUGCAAGAGGUGAGUUUAGCAGAACAUUCUGGAAAGUAUAGCCAUAGAGGGUGAUAGUCCCGUAUGCGAAAAACAAACCUUAGCUAGCAGUAUCCUGAGUAGGGCGGGACACGAGAAAUCCUGUCUGAAGCUGGGUCGACCACGAUCCAACCCUAAAUACUAAUACCAGAUCGAUAGUGCACAAGUACCGUGAGGGAAAGGUGAAAAGAACUGAGGUGAUCAGAGUGAAAUAGAACCUGAAACCAUUUGCUUACAAUCAUUCAGAGCCCUAUGUAGCAAUACAGGGUGAUGGACUGCCUUUUGCAUAAUGAGCCUGCGAGUUGUGGUGUCUGGCAAGGUUAAGCAAACGCGAAGCCGUAGCGAAAGCGAGUCUGAAUAGGGCGCUUAGUCAGAUGCUGCAGACCCGAAACGAAGUGAUCUAUCCAUGAGCAAGUUGAAGCUAGUGUAAGAACUAGUGGAGGACUGAACCCAUAGGCGUUGAAAAGCCCCGGGAUGACUUGUGGAUAGGGGUGAAAGGCCAAUCAAACUUCGUGAUAGCUGGUUCUCUCCGAAAUAUAUUUAGGUAUAGCGUUGUGUCGUAAUAUAAGGGGGUAGAGCACUGAAUGGGCUAGGGCAUACACCAAUGUACCAAACCCUAUCAAACUCCGAAUACCUUAUAUGUAAUCACAGCAGUCAGGCGGCGAGUGAUAAAAUCCGUCGUCAAGAGGGAAACAACCCAGACUACCAGCUAAGGUCCCUAAAUCUUACUUAAGUGGAAAACGAUGUGAAGUUACUUAAACAACCAGGAGGUUGGCUUAGAAGCAGCCAUCCUUUAAAGAAAGCGUAAUAGCUCACUGGUCUAGUGAUUUUGCGCGGAAAAUAUAACGGGGCUAAAGUAAGUACCGAAGCUGUAGACUUGAUUUUAUCAAGUGGUAGGAGAGCGUUCUAUUUGCGUCGAAGGUAUACCGGUAAGGAGUGCUGGAGCGAAUAGAAGUGAGCAUGCAGGCAUGAGUAGCGAUAAUUAAUGUGAGAAUCAUUAACGCCGUAAACCCAAGGUUUCCUACGCGAUGCUCGUCAUCGUAGGGUUAGUCGGGUCCUAAGUCGAGUCCGAAAGGGGUAGACGAUGGCAAAUUGGUUAAUAUUCCAAUACCAACAUUAGUGUGCGAUGGAAGGACGCUUAGGGCUAAGGGGGCUAGCGGAUGGAAGUGCUAGUCUAAGGUCGUAGGAGGUUAUACAGGCAAAUCCGUAUAACAAUACUCCGAGAACUGAAAGGCUUUUUGAAGUCUUCGGAUGGAUAGAAGAACCCCUGAUGCCGUCGAGCCAAGAAAAGUUUCUAAGUUUAGCUAAUGUUGCCCGUACCGUAAACCGACACAGGUGGGUGGGAUGAGUAUUCUAAGGCGCGUGGAAGAACUCUCUUUAAGGAACUCUGCAAAAUAGCACCGUAUCUUCGGUAUAAGGUGUGGUUCGCUUCGUAUUAGGAUUUACUCCGAAAGCGAAGAAACUUACAACAAAGAGUCCCUCCCGACUGUUUACCAAAAACACAGCACUCUGCUAACUCGUAAGAGGAUGUAUAGGGUGUGACGCCUGCCCGGUGCUCGAAGGUUAAUUGAUGGGGUUAGCAUUAGCGAAGCUCUUGAUCGAAGCCCGAGUAAACGGCGGCCGUAACUAUAACGGUCCUAAGGUAGCGAAAUUCCUUGUCGGUUAAAUACCGACCUGCAUGAAUGGCGUAACGAGAUGGGAGCUGUCUCAAAGAGGGAUCCAGUGAAAUUGUAGUGGAGGUGAAAAUUCCUCCUACCCGCGGCAAGACGGAAAGACCCCGUGGACCUUUACUACAGCUUGACACUGCUACUUGGAUAAGAAUGUGCAGGAUAGGUGGGAGGCUUUGAGUAUAUGACGCCAGUUGUAUAUGAGCCAUUGUUGAGAUACCACUCUUUCUUAUUUGGGUAGCUAACCAGCUUGAGUUAUCCUCAAGUGGGACAAUGUCUGGUGGGUAGUUUGACUGGGGCGGUCGCCUCCCAAAUAAUAACGGAGGCUUACAAAGGUUGGCUCAGAACGGUUGGAAAUCGUUCGUAGAGUAUAAAGGUAUAAGCCAGCUUAACUGCAAGACAUACAAGUCAAGCAGAGACGAAAGUCGGUCUUAGUGAUCCGGUGGUUCUGUGUGGAAGGGCCAUCGCUCAAAGGAUAAAAGGUACCCCGGGGAUAACAGGCUGAUCUCCCCCAAGAGCUCACAUCGACGGGGAGGUUUGGCACCUCGAUGUCGGCUCAUCGCAUCCUGGGGCUGGAGCAGGUCCCAAGGGUAUGGCUGUUCGCCAUUUAAAGCGGUACGCGAGCUGGGUUCAGAACGUCGUGAGACAGUUCGGUCCCUAUCUGCCGUGGGCGUAAGAAGAUUGAAGAGAUUUGACCCUAGUACGAGAGGACCGGGUUGAACAAACCACUGGUGUAGCUGUUGUUCUGCCAAGAGCAUCGCAGCGUAGCUAAGUUUGGAAAGGAUAAACGCUGAAAGCAUCUAAGCGUGAAGCCAACUCUAAGAUGAAUCUUCUCUAAGCUCUCUAGAAGACUACUAGUUUGAUAGGCUGGGUGUGUAAUGGAUGAAAGUCCUUUAGCUGACCAGUACUAAUAGAGCGUUUGGCUUAUCUUUAAUAAAGCAU
rnacentral:rRNA from 1 species